ACACAUGCAAGUCGAACGAGAAUCUACUGAAAGAGUUUUCGGACAAUGGAUGUAGAGGAAAGUGGCGGACGGGUGAGUAACGCGUGAGGAACCUGCCUUGAAGAGGGGGACAACAGUUGGAAACGACUGCUAAUACCGCAUGACGCAUAGAGGUCGCAUGAUCUUUAUGCCAAAGAUUUAUCGCUUCAAGAUGGCCUCGCGUCUGAUUAGCUGGUUGGCGGGGUAACGGCCCACCAAGGCGACGAUCAGUAGCCGGACUGAGAGGUUGAACGGCCACAUUGGGACUGAGAUACGGCCCAGACUCCUACGGGAGGCAGCAGUGGGGAAUAUUGGGCAAUGGGCGCAAGCCUGACCCAGCAACGCCGCGUGAAGGAAGAAGGCUUUCGGGUUGUAAACUUCUUUUAAGAGGGAAGAGCAGAAGACGGUACCUCUAGAAUAAGCCACGGCUAACUACGUGCCAGCAGCCGCGGUAAUACGUAGGUGGCAAGCGUUGUCCGGAUUUACUGGGUGUAAAGGGCGUGCAGCCGGGUCUGCAAGUCAGAUGUGAAAUCCAUGGGCUCAACCCAUGAACUGCAUUUGAAACUGUAGAUCUUGAGUGUCGGAGGGGCAAUCGGAAUUCCUAGUGUAGCGGUGAAAUGCGUAGAUAUUAGGAGGAACACCAGUGGCGAAGGCGGAUUGCUGGACGAUAACUGACGGUGAGGCGCGAAAGUGUGGGGAGCAAACAGGAUUAGAUACCCUGGUAGUCCACACUGUAAACGAUGAAUACUAGGUGUGCGGGGACUGACCCCUUGCGUGUCGCAGUAAACACAAUAAGUAUUCCACCUGGGGAGUACGAUCGCAAGGUUGAAACUCAAAGGAAUUGACGGGGGCCCGCACAAGCGGUGG
rnacentral:rRNA from 1 species